GCCGAGCUCAGCAACGUGAGCUUGUAACCCGAGUGGGGGCUUUGAGGUGCUGGAACAUUGUCCCAGUAUUAGCUGGUCGGGUUCGGGUUGGCUAUCUUCUGGCCCGCCCAUUCCAAGCCAGGAGUUGAACCCUGUGGCUUGAGCGAAGGCUCUGGGUCACUGGGUUUCUAGAGUGGAGGGCACUGCGUAAGGCUGGCUUCACAGAGCAACGAACUACCUCCCGCUCUUGGCAGUGGAAGGAUAACGGGUCGGUGCCACUCAGAUCCACCAUGGCCUGCUAGACUGUCCCAAUUGAACCAAAACCUUU
rnacentral:SRP_RNA from 2 species